AUGGAGCAAUCCUGGAGUGUUUCACUGGUGUUCCUGUGGCUUCAGUUUAAUUGGGUGAGCGGCCAACAGAAUGUGCAGCAGACCCCAGAGUCCCUCAGUGUCCCUGAAGGAUCGAUGGCCUCUCUCAACUGUACUUACAGUGAUGGUAGUACUUCUGAUUACUUCUGGUGGUACAGAAUGCAUCCCGGGAAAGGCCCCAAGGCUCUGAUGUCCAUCAUCUCCAAUGGUGAAAAGGAAGAAGGCAGAUUUACAGUUUACCUCAAUAAAAAAGGCCUGCAUGUUUCCCUGCACAUCAGAGACUCCCAGCCCAGUGACUCAGCUGUCUACCUGUGUGCAGUGAGCACACAGUGCUCCCCAGGCACCUGCAUCCUGCACUCAAACCCACUAGGUCCAGCAAGGCCUGAAGUGGGGCAUGCUCUAUUUGAAAAGUACUUACUUUAUGAAAACAUCUCAUCCUGA